GGCAGGUUAGCUCAGUUGGUUAGAGCAUGGUGCCAAAAACACCAAGAUCACGGGUUCAAACCCAGUAUAGGCCA